rnacentral:rRNA from 1 species
UCAUUAAAUCAGUUAUCGUUUAUUUGAUAGUACCUUACUACUUGGAUAACCGUGGUAAUUCUAGAGCUAAUACAUGCUAAAAACCUCGACUUCGGAAGGGGUGUAUUUAUUAGAUAAAAAACCAAUGCCCUUCGGGGCUCACUGGUGAUUCAUAAUAACUUAACGAAUCGCAUGGCCUUGUGCCGGCGAUGGUUCAUUCAAAUUUCUGCCCUAUCAACUUUCGAUUGUUGGGUCUUGGCCAACAAUGGUUUCAACGGGUAACGGGGAAUUAGGGUUCUAUUCCGGAGAGGGAGCCUGAGAAACGGCUACCACAUCCAAGGAAGGCAGCAGGCGCGCAAAUUACCCAAUCCUGAUACAGGGAGGUAGUGACAAUAAAUACUGAUACAGGGCUCUUUUGGGUCUUGUAAUUGGAAUGAGUACAAUUUAAAUCCCUUAACGAGGAACAAUUGGAGGGCAAGUCUGGUGCCAGCAGCCGCGGUAAUUCCAGCUCCAAUAGCGUAUAUUAAAGUUGUUGCAGUUAAAAAGCUCGUAGUUGAACCUUGGGCCUGGCUGGCCGGUCCGCCUCACCGCGUGCACUGGUCCGGCCGGGCCUUUCCUCCUGGGGAGCCGCAUGCCCUUCACUGGGUGUGUCGGGGAACCAGGACUUUUACUUUGAAAAAAUUAGAGUGUUCAAAGCAGGCCUAUGCUCGAAUACAUUAGCAUGGAAUAAUAGAAUAGGACGUGUGGUUCUAUUUUGUUGGUUUCUAGGACCGCCGUAAUGAUUAAUAGGGACAGUUGGGGGCAUCAGUAUUUAAUUGUCAGAGGUGAAAUUCUUGGAUUUAUUAAAGACUAACUACUGCGAAAGCAUUUGCCAAAGAUGUUUUCAUUAAUCAGUGAACGAAAGUUAGGGGAUCGAAGACGAUCAGAUACCGUCGUAGUCUUAACCAUAAACUAUGCCGACUAGGGAUCGGGCGAUGUUAUCUUUUUGACUCGCUCGGCACCUUACGAGAAAUCAAAGUCUUUGG